GAUGAACGCUGACCGAAUGCUUAACACAUGCAAGUCGAUGGGGAAGUGGUGCUUGCACCAUGGCAACCAUGGCGGACGGGUGAGUAACGCGUAAGGGACUUACCUGCAGGACUGGGAUAACAGGGGGAAACUCCUGACAAGACCGGAUAAUGUCAUGGAGCUGCAUGGCUUUAUGAUGAAAGGAGACGCCUGCGGAGAGCCUUGCGUCCUAUUAGCUAGUUGGUGAGGUAAUGGCUCACCAAGGCGAAGAUAGGUAGCCGGCCUGAGAGGGUGGACGGCCACAAGGGGACUGAGAUACGGCCCUUACUCCUACGGGAGGCAGCAGUGGGGAAUAGUGGACAAUGGGGGCAACCCUGAUCCAGCAAUUCUGUGUGCACGAAGAAGGUUUUCGGAUUGUAAAGUGCUUUCAGCAGGGAAGAAGUAAGUGACGGUACCUGCAGAAGAAGCGACGGCUAAAUACGUG
rnacentral:rRNA from 1 species